rnacentral:rRNA from 1 species
UACGUAGGGGGCGAGCGUUGUCCGGAUUUAUUGGGCGUAAAGAGCUCGUAGGCGGUUUGGUAAGUUGGAUGUGAAAUCUCCAGGCUCAACUUGGAGGGGUCAUUCGAUACUGCCAUGACUAGAGUUCGGUAGGGGAGUGUGGAAUUCCAGGUGUAGCGGUGAAAUGCGUAGAUAUCUGGAGGAAUACCGGUGGCGAAGGCGGCAUCCUGGACCAUUACUGACGCUGAGGCGCGAAAGCUAGGGGAGCAAACGGG